rnacentral:rRNA from 1 species
AUUGAACGCUGGCGGCAGGCCUAACACAUGCAAGUCGAGCGAGCGGCGGACGGGUGAGUAAUGUCUGGGAGACUGCCCGAUGGAGGGGGAUAACUCCUGGAAACGGGAGAUAAUACCGCACACCAUCAGAUGUGCCCAGAUGGGAUUAGCUAGUAGGGGGGGUAACGGCUCACCUAGGCGACGAUCCCUAGCUGGGCUGAGAGGAUGACCAGCCACACUGGAACUGAGACACGGUCCAGACUCCUACGGGAGGCAGCAGUGGGGAAUAUUGCACAAUGGGCGCAAGCCUGAUGCAGCCAUGCCGCGUGUAUGAAGAAGGCCUUCGGGUUGUAAAGCACUUUCAGCGGGGAGGCGUUACCCGCAGAAGAAGCACCGGCUAACUCCGUGCCAGCAGCCGCGGUAAUAC